rnacentral:lncRNA from 1 species
GUGUCCAGGAGACCGGAUCCGGCGCCCCCGGUGGCGGAUCUGUGAAGAGUUGCUCCACCAACAGCUCGUCAGCGAGCGGCGGGCUCUGGCGCGGAUGUUAGCAGUGCCAAGACGGGGGAGCAGCUCGACGACACGCGUGGCCGGCGGUCUGACGGGGGAGCAGUGCGGUGGCGGCCUGGCAGGGGACGCGCACAGUAGCUCCGCCCUCG